GCCGGGUGUGGUGGUGCACACCUGUAAUCCCAGCUACUCUGGAGGCUGAGGCAGGAGAAUCUCUUGAACUCAGGAGGCAGAGGUUGCAGUGAGCCGAGAUCAUGCCACUGCACUCUGGCCUGGGCAAAAGAGUGAGACUCUGUCUCAA
rnacentral:SRP_RNA from 1 species